AGGACAACGUCAAAAAAAAAAAAAAAAAAAAAAAAAAAAAAAAAAAAAACAAGAAACAAAAUAUUAAAAAAACCGUUUUCGAUGCUAUCGUUUUGUAGAAACUUAUUACUGCGAGGACAAUAAUAAUAAUAAUAAUAAUAGUAUAUUUUGUCGUACGCAAGGUGAUUCCACAUUUCAGUGGCUACGACGAAUAUUUCGAAAAGUAUUGAUUUUUAUCACCGUGUAUAGUACCUGUGACAAAAGCGUCUAGAAAAACAAACCACGCCGUCUCUUUGUUUUUUUCGUACGGCUCAUUAGACGCACGUUAUUUUGCAUCCCCAGCGCCUCACUCCAAACUCGAUAAUUACACUUUGGAAUCGGCAAUUUAAAUAUCUGAUACCCAAGUCGAAAAACAAAAACGAUAGUUUCUCAUUUCUGAUUUAAUAUUAAUCUCUAGUCGG